UCAAGCAUUGUGCCUUGAAUAACCCAAUUCCAUUCUGAUUUUGGAAGCUAAGCAGGGUCAGAUCUGUUUAGUACUUGGAUAGAAGAUGUCCAGAUAGGGCUAGAA
rnacentral:rRNA from 1 species